rnacentral:rRNA from 1 species
CCUACGGUCGGCAGCAGUGAGGAAUAUUGGUCAAUGGGCUUACGCCUGAACCAGCCAAGUCGCGUGAGGGAAUACGGUCCUAUGGAUUGUCAACCUCUUUAGGCGGGGAGCCCUGCCGGGCACGCGUGCCCGGAGUGAGAGUACCCGCAGCAUAAGCAUCGGCUAACUCCGUGCCAGCAGCCGCGGUAAUACGGAGGCUGCGAGCUUUCUCCGGAUUUAUUGGGUUUACAGGGUGCGUAGGCGGAUUUUUUAAGUCAGCGGUAAAAUGUCCGGGCUCAACCCGGGCCGGCCGUUGAAACUGGGGAUCUUGAGUGGGAGAGAAGUAUGCGGAAUGCGUGGUGUAGCGGUGAAAUGCAUAGAUAUCACGCAGAACUCCGAUUGCGAAGGCAGCAUACCGGCGCCCGACUGACGCUGAGGCACGAAAGCGUGGGGAUCGAACAGGAUUAGAUACCCCAGUAGUC